rnacentral:rRNA from 1 species
GAUGAACGCUGGCGGCGUGCCUAAUACAUGCAAGUCGAACGAACAGACGAGGAGCUUGCUCCUCUGACGUUAGCAGCGGAGAACGGAGGAACAAGACGAUAACAUACCUAUCCCACUUUCAUAACUUCCGGAAGCCGGAGCGAAUACCACAUGAUAUUUUGAACCUCUUGGUUCAUGAGUCAGGGACGGUUUUUCUUUCGCUUGUAGAUGGGUCCGCGCCGCAUUAGCUAGUUGGUAAGGUAACGGCUUACCAAGGCAGCGAUGAGUAGCCGACCUGAGAGGGUGAUCGGCCACACUGGAAGUGAGACGAGGUCCAGAAGACUACGGGAGGAAGCAGUAGGGAAGAUUACGCAAUGGGGGAAAGAAGGAUGGAGCAACGCCGCGUGAGGGAGGAAGGUCGCCGGAUCGUAAAAAUCUGUUAUUAGGGAAGAACAAAUGUGUAAGUAACUAUGCACGUCUUGACGGUACCUAAUCAGAAAGCCACGGCUAACUACGUG